GGAUGUGAGGGCGAUCUGGAUGUGAUAUCUGUCACUAUAUUGGUUGCCAGGGUCAACUCAGCUGAUCUGGCUGACCACGUGGACAUCCCUUUCUGGUGUCAUCACUAUAUGUCCCUUCCAAAGCCCGUGACCAUGUUGGACAGAGAGGACCAUUGCCUUGGUCAAGGGUGUAGGGUUAACUGCACUCCUCUGCUAGGACCUCCAAUGAGCUCCCAAAAUAGUUCCCAUUCCAUUGCUUUAUUUUGGUUUUGUUUACAGAAUCUU
rnacentral:snRNA from 1 species